GUAGGUGGCAAGCGUUAUCCGGAAUUAUUGGGCGUAAAGCGCGCGCAGGCGGUUUCUUAAGUCUGAUGUGAAAGCCCACGGCUCAACCGUGGAGGGUCGUUGGAAACUGGGGAACUUGAGUGCAGAAGAGAAAAGCGGAAUUCCACGCGUAGCGGUGAAAUGCGUAGAGAUGUGGAGGAACACCAGUGGCGAAGGCGGCUUUUUGGUCUGUAACUGACGCUGAGGCGCGAAAGCGUGGGGAGCAAACAGGAUUAGAUACCCUGGUAGUCCACGCCGUAAACGAUGAGUGCUAAGUGUUAGAGGGUUUCCCGCCCUUUAGUGCUGCAGCUAACGCAUUAAGCACUCCGCCUGGGGAGUACGGUCGCAAGACUG
rnacentral:rRNA from 1 species